GACGAACGCUGGCGGCGUGCUUAACACAUGCAAGUCGAACGGAAAGGCCCUGCUUGCCGGGUACUCGAGUGGCGAACGGGUGAGUAACACGUGGGUGAUCUGCCCUGCACUUCGGGAUAAGCCUGGGAAACUGGGUCUAAUACCGGAUAGGAGCCAUUUUUAGUGUGAUGGUUGGAAAGUUUUUUCGGUGUAGGAUGAGCUCGCGGCCUAUCAGCUUGUUGGUGGGGUAAUGGCCUACCAAGGCGGCGACGGGUAGCCGGCCUGAGAGGGUGGACGGCCACAUUGGGACUGAGAUACGGCCCAGACUCCUACGGGAGGCAGCAGUGGGGAAUAUUGCACAAUGGGCGCAAGCCUGAUGCAGCGACGCCGCGUGGGGGAUGACGGCCUUCGGGUUGUAAACCCCUUUCGCUAGGGACGAAGCUUUUGUGACGGUACCUAGAUAAGAAGCACCGGCUAACUACGUG
rnacentral:rRNA from 1 species